rnacentral:rRNA from 1 species
GGCAACAGCCUUACCUCCUUGUAACCUGAUCUCAUUAGAUCUUCAGAACUUAAGCAAGGCUGGGACUGAUCCAAUACUGGGAUGGCUGACCUCCAAAGAAAACUGGUUUGCUGCUGUAA